rnacentral:rRNA from 1 species
CGAAAGCGUGGGGAGCGAACAGGAUUAGAUACCCUGGUAGUCCACGCCGUAAACGGUGGAUGCUGGAUGUGGGGACCAUUCCACGGUCUCCGUGUCGGAGCCAACGCGUUAAGCAUCCCGCCUGGGGAGUACGGCCGCAAGGCUAAAACUCAAAGAAAUUGACGGGGGCCCGCACAAGCGGCGGAGCAUGCGGAUUAAUUCGAUGCAACGCGAAGAACCUUACCUGGGCUUGACAUGUUCCCGACAGCCGUAGAGAUACGGUCUCCCUUCGGGGCGGGUUCACAGGUGGUGCAUGGUCGUCGUCAGCUCGUGUCGUGAGAUGUUGGGUUAAGUCCCGCAACGAGCGCAACCCUCGCCCUGUGUUGCCAGCACGUCGUGGUGGGAACUCACGGGGGACCGCCGGGGUCAACUCGGAGGAAGGUGGGGAUGACGUCAGAUCAUCAUGCCCCUUACGUCCAGGGCUUCACGCAUGCUACAAUGGCCGGUACAACGGGAUGCGACACCGCGAGGUGGAGCGGAUCCCUUAAAACCGGUCUCAGUUCGGAUUGGAGUCUGCAACCCGACUCCAUGAAGGCGGAGUCGCUAGUAAUCGCGGAUCAGCAACGCCGCGGUGAAUGCGUUCCCGGGCCUUGUACACACCGCCCGUCAAGUCAUGAAAGUGGGUAGCACCCGAAGCCGGUGGCCCAACCUUUUGGGGGGAGCCGUCUAAGGUGAGACUCGUGAUUGGGACUAAGUCGUAACAAGGUAGCCGUACCGGAAGGUGCGGCUG